CUUGUACUCCCUCCGUCCGGAAAUACUUGUCAUUGAAAUGGAUGUAUCUAGAUUUAUUUUAGUUCUAGACACAUCCAUUUUGAUGACAAGUAAUUCCGGAUGGAGGGAGUACUUG
rnacentral:pre_miRNA from 1 species